rnacentral:rRNA from 1 species
GCUAGCGGGAGGCUUAAUACAUGCAAGUCGAGGGGUAACAUGAGUAUCAGGACCUUGAUGAGCGACCGGCGCACGGGUGAGUAACGCGUAUGCAAACUAGCUCCGAGCGGAGAAUAGCCCCAGGAAAUUGGGAUUAAUGCUCCAUAAGACCAUAAUGCCGCCUGAUAUAGUGGUAAAAGCUCCGGCGCUCGGAGAUGGUCGUGCGUGCCAUUAGCUAGUUGGCGAGGUAACAGCUCACCAAGACGACGAUGGCUAGGGGGUCUGAGAGCAUGAUCCCCCACACUGGUACUGAGACACGGACCCGACUCCUACGGGAGGCAGCAGUGAGGAAUAUUGGACAAUGGACGCAAGCCUGAUCCAGCCAUGCCGCGUGCAGGAUGACUGCCCUAUGGGUUGUAAACUGCUUUUGUAAGGGAAGAAACUGGCCCAUGUGUCAGCAACUGACGGUAUCGCGAGAAUAAGCAUCGGCUAACUCCGUGCCAGCAGCCGCGGUAAUACGGAGGAUGCAAGCGUUAUCCGGAUUCAUUGGGUCUAAAGGGUGCGUAGGCGGGAUAGUAAGUCAGAGGUGAAAGGCCGUCGCUCAACCAUAGAAUUGCCUUUGAUACUGUCAUGCUUGAGUCCAGUUGAGGCUCGGCGGAAUGUGUCAUGUAGCGGUGAAAUGCAUAGAUAUGACACAGACUACCGAUUGCGUAGGCAGCUGACUUGGCUUUAAUUGACGCUGAGGCACGAAAGCGUGGGGAGCGAACAGGAUUAGAUACCCUGGUAGUCCAGGGCCGUAAACGAUGUUCACUCGCCCUUGGCCAUUCAUUGUCAGCACCUGAGCGAAAGCAUUAAGUGAUCCACCUGGGGAGUACGUCCGCAAGGAUGAAACUCAAAGGAAUUGACGGGGGUCCGCACAAGCGGUGGAACAUGUGGUUUAAUUCGAUGAUACGCGAGGAACCUU